CGGCGGACGGCUGAGUAACACGUAGGAACGUACCCCAAAGUGAGGGAUAAGCACCAGAAAUGGUGUCUAAUACCGCAUGUGCUCUAAGGAGUAAAGCUUUAUGCGCUUUGGGAGCGGCCUGCGCCUGAUUAGUUUGUUGGUGAGGUAAUGGCUCACCAAGACUACGAUCAGUAGCUGGUCUGAGAGGAUGAUCAGCCAGACUGGGACUGAGAACGGCCCAGACUCCUACGGGAGGCAGCAGUAGGGAAUUUUCCACAAUGGACGAAAGUCUGAUGGAGCAACGCCGCGUGCAGGAUGAAUGCCUUUGGGUUGUAAACUGCUUUUAUCUGUGACGAAUAUGACGGUAGCAGAUGAAUAAGGAUCGGCUAACUCCGUGCCAGCAGCCGCGGUCAUACGGAGGAUCCAAGCGUUAUCCGGAAUUACUGGGCGUAAAGAGUUG
rnacentral:rRNA from 1 species